rnacentral:rRNA from 1 species
CCUACGGGAGGCAGCAGUGAGGAAUAUUGGUCAAUGGGAGAGAUCCUGAACCAGCCAAGCCGCGUGAGGGAAGACGGCCCUAUGGGUUGUAAACCUCUUUUGUCGGAGAACAAAACCCGGGACGGGUCCCGGACUGCGUGUAUCCGAAGAAAAAGCAUCGGCUAACUCCGUGCCAGCAGCCGCGGUAAUACGGAGGAUGCGAGCGUUAUCCGGAUUUAUUGGUUUUAAAGGGUGCGUAGGCGGUCCGUUAAGUCAGCGGGAAAAUUGCGGGGCUCAACCCCGUCGAGCCGUUGAAACUGGCAGACUUGAGUUGGCGAGAAGUACGCGGAAUGCGCGGUGUAGCGGUGAAAUGCAUAGAUAUCGCGCAGAACUCCGAUUGCGAAGGCAGCGUACCGGCGCCAGACUGACGCUGAGGCACGAAAGCGUGGGGAUCGAACAGGAUUAGAUACCCUAGUAGUC